GACGAACGCUGGCGGCAUGCCUUACACAUGCAAGUCGAACGGCAGCACGGGGGCAACCCUGGUGGCGAGUGGCGAACGGGUGAGUAACACAUCGGAACGUGCCCAGUAGUGGGGGAUAGCUCGGCGAAAGCCGGAUUAAUACCGCAUACGACCUACGGGUGAAAGCGGGGGAUCGCAAGACCUUGCGCUAUUGGAGCGGCCGAUGUCAGAUUAGGUUGUUGGUGGGGUAAAGGCCUACCAAGCCGACGAUCUGUAGCUGGUCUGAGAGGACGACCAGCCACACUGGGACUGAGACACGGCCCAGACUCCUACGGGAGGCAGCAGUGGGGAAUUUUGGACAAUGGGCGCAAGCCUGAUCCAGCCAUGCCGCGUGC
rnacentral:rRNA from 1 species